rnacentral:lncRNA from 1 species
AGAGAGAGAUGAGAUAGAAUUGUAUGUAUUCAUUACCGACCUAUACGGAAAGAAAUGAUAGGUGGUAGAGUGAAGUUUUUAAGUAAAUAAUAUUAUGUUGAAUGGCAGUAUAGAUACUUUUUAUAGAAAUCAGGAGUGCCCUAAUAUUCAAGAGAUUAAGGUUGGUAUGAAGGAGACAAACAUGCGGUUCUAUUGUUCAAAAUUCGAGCGGGC